rnacentral:rRNA from 1 species
UCCGUAGGGUGCGAGCGUUGUCCGGAAUUACUGGGCGUAAAGAGCUCGUAGGUGGUUUGUCGCGUUGUUCGUGAAAACUCACAGCUUAACUGUGGGCGUGCGGGCGAUACGGGCAGACUGGAGUACUGCAGGGGAGACUGGAAUUCCUGGUGUAGCGGUGGAAUGCGCAGAUAUCAGGAGGAACACCGGUGGCGAAGGCGGGUCUCUGGGCAGUAACUGACGCUGAGGAGCGAAAGCGUGGGGAGCAAACAGG